rnacentral:rRNA from 1 species
GUGCACGCUGGCGGUAGGCCUAACACAUGCAAGUCGAACGGCAGCACAGUAAGAGCUUGCUCUUACGGGUGGCGAGUGGCGGACGGGUGAGGAAUACAUCGGAAUCUACUUUUUCGUGGGGGAUAACGUAGGGAAACUUACGCUAAUACCGCAUACGACCUACGGGUGAAAGCAGGGGAUCUUCGGACCUUGCGCGAUUGAAUGAGCCGAUGUCGGAUUAGCUAGUUGGCGGGGUAAAGGCCCACCAAGGCGACGAUCCGUAGCUGGACUGAGAGGAUGAUCAGCCACACUGGAACUGAGACACGGUCCAGACUCCUACGGGAGGCAGCAGUGGGGAAUAUUGGACAAUGGGCGCAAGCCUGAUCCAGCCAUACCGCGUGGGUGAAGAAGGCCUUCGGGUUGUAAAGCCCUUUUGUUGGGAAAGAAAAGCAGCAGGUUAAUACCCCGCUGUUCUGACGGUACCCAAAGAAUAAGCACCGGCUAACUUCGUG